AAGAAGAGAACAAAUCGGACUCUACUCCCCAUUCCAUGAAAUCGGUUCCCCAUGAUCCCACGUUCAUCACUCCCAACAAUCUUGCUAUCACAUACUCUACUCCUUUUCACUCUUCUUGAUUUCAUCAAUGGCGGCAGUGGUGACGGCUACGCGGAGGAGAAGCGACGGCGGAGCGGAACGACAGGGAUGGCACUCUCGGCUGUACCGCGUGUUCAGUGCGUACAGCCGCGAAAUGAAAGUAACUCCGGCGAUGGUGACGGAGGCGGCGCUCGUCGCCUAUAUCUACGCGGUGGUUCUGACCAUCGACACCAUCGUCGGUUACGUUUUCUUGAAGAAUUGCAGAGAAGAGCAGCGUGAUUCUUGCCCUCGCCGGAUUGAAUUCGUCAAGCAAGGGAAGGGAAUGGAAUCGGUGGUUUGAAUUUCAACAUUCACUUGUUUCUUUUCUUUUCUUGGGAAUUAAUAAAAGUGUGGACCAGAAUUUGCUCUAUUUUUGAGUUAGAAAGUUUUAGCCGUGAAAUGUAAAGAUGAAGACAGAUUCUUGGAACAAAAUCAGAAAUAGAAGAAAAUGGAGUAUGUAAAUCAAAAUAGUAAUACAAAUUCCGAACAGCAGCACUUUUUCGGGGCGACAAACCGAGAAAAAGGAGGAGCCCUGCGACCUUUGCGACGUUGAGAAGCCCGAGAGAGAGAUGGGAACAGAGCAGCAACGACGAGCCCUCAAUUUGGAGUACGAACAACAACCGCGAGAGGGAGAGAUGCAGUGCUGAUUUGAUUAUGAAUUCAGAGAAAAAGAGAGGAUGUGAGGCAGCGGCAGAACGGGAUCCACUCCGGGCUGAACCGAUGUGGAGCUGCGACGGAGGUAGGGAGAAUCAGCGAGCAGCAGCAACAGCUCCUGCUGCGUCGCGACAUUGGCGGCAGUGGUGCUGUGUUUUUUCGGCGAGAACAAGUGAAGAUGAAGGGAGAUGUCGGGAGAGGGAGCAGCGGCGCUGGCAUCCGGUGUGUGAACAGCAGCGGCUGCUCAAAGCGGCGACUUCGGUGGAUGGCGAUGGCGGCGUGGUUACGAGCGGAUUGGAGUAGCAACGGUGAGGCGGAAGCGCCGUACUGAUGUUUGGGAGAACCGAGGAGGCGGUGUGAGGAGCCCGUAGCUGUGAACGCGAUUGCUGUGUCGCAGCAGUGAGGAGCUGGAACAUCGAGCUCACCAUCGGCAGAUUUGAGAGAGAAUGGAGAUGCGUUGAUGAGUAUUUCAUUCUUCUAGAUACGCGACUAAGUUAAUGGAUUUGCUGGAGCAAUUAAUUCUUUUUGACUACCAGGAAGUGGAGUAGGAUUUUGGGAAGGGAUUUGUAAUGACUAUUGAGCUGGAGUAUAUAUUUUAGGAGUUGGGAGUUUCAUUAUACUUUGAAAUUUAGAAGAAAGAUGGAGAUGGAGAACACUGCUAGAAUCUUAAAUAAUUAAGUGAUGUGGGCUGGAAACUGUCCAAAUAGAGAGAAAGGUUGGAGUUACAUGAUGAAGUGAUAUGGGCUGAAUUCAUGAGUUACACACGAGAAUUUAAGAAUUUGCUAGCUAAGAUUUAAAGGUUGAAUUUUAUGCACGUCUGUUGAGGUCGGAAUAUAAAGUUGAUUUGAGGAGAUAAGCAAACGAGGUUGAGCUAUGACGAGCGCGGUGGGUGUUGAGCAGAG